rnacentral:rRNA from 1 species
GACGUAGGGUGCGAGCGUUGUCCGGAUUUAUUGGGCGUAAAGAGCUCGUAGGCGGUUUGUUGCGUCGGCUGUGAAAUCCCGAGGCUCAACCUCGGGUCUGCAGUCGAUACGAGCAAACUAGAGUGUUGCAGGGGAGACUGGAAUUCCUGGUGUAGCGGUGAAAUGCGCAGAUAUCAGGAGGAACACCGGUGGCGAAGGCGGGUCUCUGGGCAACAACUGACGCUGAGGAGCGAAAGCGUGGGGAGCGAACAGG